GGGCAAAUCAGGCCAAAAGGAAAGCACCUAUGAAUUUGUAUAUUUCAGACAAACUUGGUCGAGUUUACAAAAGAGACAUCAGAUGCUGGUUAGGUAAAAAUAACACUUAUAGAAGUCUUAGUGUGGAUGAUCUAACACGCUUCCUAGAUGUUGGUGAGAAGGCUUCGAAAGCCUUCAAAGAGUCUCAGGAACAAACUGACAGUAAAGACUAUCAAACUGAGUUCUGGUCACCACAGAUGUUCCGAAGAAGAACAUUAAUACAGCUGGCUUCUUUGGGGAAAUAGAAGUGGGUCUUGACACUAUCCAGCUUCUUCAGCUCACACCUCUUUUCCAUAAAGAAAAUGAAAUGUCAAAAGAAUCUAUGGCACAGUUUUUAUCUGGAAAGGGGACCAUCCCUCC
rnacentral:lncRNA from 1 species